AAAAAAAACAAAAGACUUAAAAUGCUUGUUGAAAUGUUUGAUAGAAUAAUUGAACGUUAACAUGCUUGGUUUUCAUAUACAUACAUACACACACACACACCUGCAUUUAUUUGAUCAGAGACACAGCAAAAACAGUAAUGUUGUGAAAUAUUUUUACUAUUUAAAAUAACUGUUUUCUAUGUGAAUAUAUUUUAAAAUGUAAUUUACUGCUGUGAUCAAAGCUGAAUUUUCAGCAUUAUUACUCCAGUCUUCAGGGUCACGUUCCUUCAGAAAUCAUUCUAAUAUACUGAUUUGCUCCUCAAGAAACCUUUUUAAAUUAUUAUUAUUAUCAAUAUUUAAAACAGCUGAGUACAUUUUUUCCAGGAUUCUUUGAUGAAUAAAAAGAUCCAAAGAUCAGCAUUUAUCUUAAAUGAAAAGCUUUUGUAACAUUAUGCAUUAUAGCAUAAGUGAUGAUAAAGACAUUUAUAAUGUUACAAAAGAUUUCUAUUUCAGAUAAAUGCUGUUCUUCUGAACUUUCUAUUCAUCCAAACAACCUGAAAAAUCUACUCAGCUGUUUUCAACAUCAUAAUCUUACUGUUCAAAAACUUUUGACUGGUAGUGUUUAGGCGACUUAAUUUUUUCUCUUAUUUCUAGCUUUUAAUUGGUUAAUAAAUAAGACGCACUGCUGGAUGACAACAACCAAUGGUAAUGAUUUGUUUAUAUAUUACAAACUCUUAUCACAUUUUUUAUUAUUAUCACAUGAUAAGUUUCUAUACUAUAAUGAAUGGUAUGUCAAUUAGCACUGCAUUGUUCAUAUUGUAUUGUCGCAAUCAUAUGUUUAAUGUCUUCAUGUUUGCAAACAUUUCUGUUUUUCUGUGAAAGGUAAACAACAGGUUUCAUACAGCAAUAGACAUGUUUGUCCAUAUUAGGGAUUUCCUGGUACGACUUUCUGUGCAAGAGCUGUUGUGUUCUACCACUAGGUUUUCGGGGUUACGAGGGGGUUAAGUUUUUGUCUGCUGUGUGCGUAUGCGUGGGAGUGAGUGACACAGAACUAGUAAAGUGAUUAUCCGUUCAGCCAUGUGUGCUUCAUAUUUAAUAACUAACUAAACUACUCCAACAUAACAAGAGCACCCUCCGGCUUUGAGUAUAAAUGAAACAUACACAGCAUGGAGUGUUUUGCGCUUCAUGAUGUUCAUCUUGCCUUAUUCUGGGUCCAAAUAAAACAUCAGGUCAUGCACA
ensembl:lncRNA